rnacentral:misc_RNA from 1 species
CCCUCCCUAAAUCACUCCAAAAAAACAAUCCCCAAUUCUACACAAGUGUUUCUACACUAACAAAGCAACAGCUCCUUAACGAAUUCCCAACUUUACAUGAGCUCGUCUCUCGAGGUUAAAUGUUAUUACUUGGUAAGAUUCCGGACCUCGCCAAGUGUUUUGAAAACCCGCAACGCUCGCAAAGGUGGAUAGUGAGAAUAAUAAGUGAAGAGACAGACUUGUCCAAAACGCCCACCACGAAGGUGCAUAGUGAGAAGAGUAAGUCAAGAGAUAGACUUGUCCAAAAAGAAACGGAAGAGAAAGCUUGGGGAGACGCUCACGAAGGUGCAUAGUGAGAAAGAGUAAGUCAAGAGAUAGACUUGUUCAAAAAGAAACAGAAGAGAAUGCUUGGGGUUACACUCACGAAGGUGCAUAGUGAGAAGAGUAAGUCAAGAGACGUACUUGUUCAAAAAGAAACAAAAGAGAUGCUUGGGGAGAUAGAAGUGUGAGAUAGUUCUCAAGCUAAGAAAGUUGUAAAAGCUAAGAACUAGGAGUGGUCGAGGAUUUGUCGACCAGGAGUUGAAAUCGUCGACCGGGACCGAGAAUUCGCCGACCAGACGGCGGAAUGCUCGACCAGGACGAUGAAUGGGCGAUGAAAAUCUAUCGGGUUAGAGGAAUGGUCGACCAGAAGUUGGAAUCGUCGACCGGGUCCGAGAAUUCGUCGAC